UACGUAGGGGGCUAGCGUUGUCCGGAUUUAUUGGGCGUAAAGAGCGUGUAGGCGGCCAGGUAGGUCUGCUGUGAAAACUCGAGGCUCAACCUCGAGACGUCGGCGGAAACCAUCUGGCUAGAGUCCGGAAGAGGAGAGUGGAAUUCCUGGUGUAGCGGUGAAAUGCGCAGAUAUCGGGAAGAACACCCGUGGCGAAGGCGGCUCUCUGGACAGUUCCUGACGCUGAGGCGCGAAGGCCAGGGGAGCAAAGCGGG
rnacentral:rRNA from 1 species